ACAUGCGGACAAAACGCGCCACUAAGCAAAGAUUGGAGGUCGGGGCGACUUUGCCGUUUGGCAGCGAGAGACGUCUCCACGCGCGACAACGGCCCUAACUGCAACUUGUCAACUCCUUUGAAGUGCCAGCGGCGCGCCACAGGAAACAUCCCCGGCAUGUUAAUGGAGCAUCCGAUAGUCACUCUGCACUUUCAUCCGUUUAUUUUUGGACAGCAUUCUUUGAUGGAUGAGCAGACAGCAACAGGAGAAGGCAGUCGAGAAGCCUACACGGUGCAAACGCAUAUACAGAAGCAUCAAACCGAGAUCAGUCAGGGUUUAUGGCAUAUCAAUCAUGUGAAGGAGUGAAAUAAAAUACAAAGAAGCUUGG